rnacentral:rRNA from 1 species
UGGGGAAUAUUGGACAAUGGGCGAAAGCCUGAUCCAGCCAUGCCGCGUGUGUGAAGAAGGUCUUCGGAUUGUAAAGCACUUUAAGUUGGGAGGAAGGGCAUUAACCUAAUACGUUAGUGUUUUGACGUUACCGACAGAAUAAGCACCGGCUAACUCUGUGCCAGCAGCCGCGGUAAUACAGAGGGUGCAAGCGUUAAUCGGACUUACUGGGCGUAAAGCGCGCGUAGGUGGUUUGUUAAGUUGGAUGUGAAAUCCCCGGGCUCAACCUUGGAACUGCAUUCAAAACUGACUGACUAGAGUAUGGUAGAGGGUGGUGGAAUUUCCUGUGUAGCGGUGAAAUGCGUAGAUAUAGGAAGGAACACCAGUGGCGAAGGCGACCACCUGGACUAAUACUGACACUGAGGUGCGAAAGCGUGGGGAGCAAACA